UUUCAGAGACCUUCAGUGGCUGCUCUUGGAAGAGGUGUAGGUUUUAGCACAGUUGUGUCGCAGCAUGUUAGCAGGAGCCAGGAGAAAUUCAGAGGGGAGGUAGUUUUCAUCUGAGGUGGUGCAGGAGGGUUUGAAGUUCUCAUUUAUUGCAGAAGCAAACACUUCUCAACCAUGAAAUGAACCCAGGCAUGUUUUGCCUUGAGAUGAUUCCUGAAAAUUGUAAUACAUUAGAGACUUUUUUGAGAAUCAAUGCUGCCUUGUCAGGACCAGGUUCUGUGAGCUGAAUGUGUGCUUCAGCCCCAGUUUUGAGUUUCCUUAUCUCCUUGACAAGGAGAAGCAGCCUGUAGGAGGAGGGUGCCACGCUGACUCAAGGAUCUCCUCCUAACUAAUGAACAUGGGC